CGGCCGCCCCAGCCGCCCCACCCGCGGCCCGCCCCUGUCCGCCCGGCCGGGAGGGAGGGAUCGGUCCUCCUAGGAAGUUUCAGGGCUUCACCCGAGGCUGCCCCUGAUCCUGCUCCUCUGCCUGGGUUUGUGUCCAUCCACCCGCUUUCCUGCGUCUCUGGAAGUCUCAGAGCCUGAGCUUGUCUCUACAGG